GCGCCGUCGCCGUUUUAAUGACGGACAAAAAAAUUCACAUUUGCACACAUUCGCUGGUCAAAAACUAUAUAUUGAUAAGUAAUACAACAACAUAUCAUUUGUUUUUACCAUCGGAAAAUCAUAACAGGUGCGCCCCUGCGCUGUUUCGUACUGGAACUUACACAAAGCGACGAGUGAUCCUCGUCACCUAGAUAACGUAUAUUUCUAAGAAAUUUCUUCUUUGAUUUAUGAUUGCUGAUACACUUAAUUUAUUAACAUUUAGGCUAAUCAUGUUAUGGUAUACUCUCCGCUCGUCCUCACAUGUAUAAAAUGUAGUAAAACAUGGUUUUACUACAGUAAUGUUGUAGUAGUAACUAAAAAAAAAUUACAGAAGAUGUCUGUGAAAUCUUUAUAUUUUAUCAUGCAGAAUGUAAUUCAUGAUUCAUUCCAAGGCUUCAUUUAUUUGAUCCAAAAUACAGCAAAAACAGUAAUAUUGUGUAAUAUUUUUCCAAUUUUAAAUAACUGUUUUCUAUUUGAAUAUAUUUUAAAAUGUAAUUUAUUUUUGUGAUCAAAGCUGAAUUUUCAGCAUCAUUACUCCAGUUCAGUACUCUUCAGUGUCACGUGAUCCUUCAGAAAUGCUUUUCACUGCAACUGUACUUUUCACACUAUUUUUAUUUAUUUUUUCAUUGCUGGCUUAUUUUAGGGAAAGUGUAGUGAAUAAGAGACCUUCAAGAGACCAACAUUCCUGGUCCACCACAGUAUCAAAUUUUUGCCAGGUAGGCGGAUACAUAAGGGUGCUGUUGUAAUUAGGUUUAAAGAAGCCCUUAAAACCCUGUUUAUCUAUAUUAUCUAAUUAUCUAAUAUUAUUAUUAUGGUUGUUAUUAAUCGUGAAUAAAUCUAAAGCUUUUGAGACUA